rnacentral:rRNA from 1 species
UACGUAGGGUGCAAGCGUUAAUCGGAAUUACUGGGCGUAAAGCGUGCGCAGGCGGUUCUAUAAGUCAGAUGUGAAAUCCCCGGGCUCAACCUGGGAACUGCAUUUGUGACUGUAGAGCUGGAGUACGGUAGAGGGGGAUGGAAUUCCGCGUGUAGCAGUGAAAUGCGUAGAUAUGCGGAGGAACACCGGUGGCGAAGGCGGCUUCCUGGACCGACACUGACGCUGAGGCGCGAAAGCUAGGGGAGCAAACGGG